GGCAGCUCUCAGGUUGGUCCUUUUGGCUAUCGUUGGUAAUGUCAACGCUGUGAACUUUACGCCUGGCUGCAGUUUUAUUGGCGGUCAGUGUAUGUACACUGUCCAGCUUGGCCACCAGGGUCAAUGUGACGCACAACCGGUCCCUGUUUCCUCAGGAGCUGACUCCCAAUGUUGUACAAUUGUUCAAACAGACUUGGCAAACCUCCAGAAAGAUGUUCAGAACUUGAAGCAACAAUAGAUUCCAGUCCUCACUGAUGUCCUCAAUAAAACCAAGUCAGACCUGAACGCAUCACAAGAGUUUGCCGAGUCUUUGCAAGGAGAGAGAGAAGUUACAAAGGCUAGAGACAGAGAUGAACAAGACAGAGACACAAAACGCUCACUUGCUCGCUCUUGCAAGGGACGAGAUCGCAUCUCUCAGAAGAGACCUGACAAACAUGAGCUUACCUCUACGUACAUGUCAGGCAGCCCUAGGGGUUACGACUGAACAAAAUGUCACAACUGAUUCUUUAAGUGGAGAGGUUCACCUGUCUUACUGUAGUUUCAACUCAACGGACAGCUGUGGCUACACUAAACUGAGUGGCACGACAUCAUUUUACUUGCUUCACACAGGAAGUUCCACUUUAACAGGACCUCGGGUUGAACACAGUAAGGGCAUUAACACUGGUUAGUGGUUUAUCUGACUAGAGUUAAGAGAGAGAGAGAGAGAGAGAGAGAGAGAAAGAAAGAAAGAAAAACUAAUAAGCAUGAGAAAGACAGAAAAGACAUUACAUUAAUAUUGUACUGUUGUUAGAGUGUUAAUUUUAGCAGACACCGUAAGGUGAAAGGCCAUUAUUUAUUGGUGUCAUCUUUCUGUUAGAUAUUUUUAGAUCACUGUCACAGAUGCUAUUAUAGAAUUAUUUGUACAUUUCACAUUUAAAAGAAAUAUAAACCCUUACUGAGCCUCAGGAAUUACCCCACAAAUUUAGACCCUUGACAGCACCUCAGGUUUUACCCAAGACGUGAUUAUGAUGUUGCAAAUCUAUUGGUUGAUUUGAAAUUAAACAAAAACAUUUUUUUUAAAGAGUUAGCGCCAGAGAAUUGGCGAGAGUAGAGAGAACGCCAGUCGAUAAAAUAUUUUGAUAGUAGUCAGUCGGUCUUCUAAGAGCUCUGUUUUAAAAGUCUUUGUGAUAUUUUGUGUUGAUUGAUUUGUAAUUUGUACAUAAGCUGUACUUACGUUUUAUAUUUAAAUAAAGUUCCAGAGUUUUGUUUUAACAAAGAAUCUUUUAUUAUGAUUCUAGAUCGUCAUUUAUUCAACUAUUUUUAAUUCAAGUAAAAUCCCCGGCAUCACAACACAUUGUGACAUUGUGGCAUGUGUGUGUUGUGACAAUCACAAUAGCUAGAAGAGCUCUUUACAAUCUGAUUUAUGGCUUGCAGAGUUUAGAUGCAACGGACACUUUUUGACGACUGAAAGAGAAUCGCUUUAUUCUACACAUUUAUUGUGCUAGCCAAGCCAUGUUUUUUUUUCUUUACAAGAUAGGAUGGGCCCAAUGAAUAUUUUAGCAAGAAUCUUGUUUUAAUUGUUGAAACUCAAAAGUAAUAAAAUGCCAAAGAAUCAAUUGAGUUAUUUGCACUUAAAAAUAAACUGAAAUACGUAUCAGAAGUGUUAUUUCAAAGAACUAUUUAGCACUUUUAUCACAAAAAUAAACUCAAAAACUAAUAAAUAAUGAGACUUCUGGACCUAAUGACAAUGGGCGAAACAUAAAUAAAGUCAAACGAUCAAUUUCAAAAAUCCUUUGACUUGUUAACUUAAAAAAACAAAAUAACAGACUUAUAUUACUUUUGUUUUUCAAAAAGGGAAAAAUUCGUUUUUAAUAGAUUCUAUUUCUCCUUUUAUUUUGUUUUUCGAUUAAACGUGAUAUACCGACAGACAGACGGCACAGAACUAGGCAGGGAUUUUCAUCUUACAGGAAUCGAUACAAAAAAUGCAGAUUUUUUUAAAAGUUGGAGACUAGCAUUGCCCAAUGUUUACACGAAAGGCACGCCACUUUGUAUAUGGAAGGCACGCCACUGUGUACUAAACUUUGAAUAAAAAAAAUGAAUAUCUUCACUUGUACCAGAUCUAGUCCUACUAUGAUAAAUUUGAUCCAGUUGGAAUUUUGUUUUAAAAUUAGCUUUUGUGUAGAGCAACUUUCAUGCUAUUAAUUAACACGCUUAGUGUCCAGUCUCUGUUGUAGACCACUGGGAGGACGGGGUAGAUGACAGUGACCUAGCAAAGAUACUUUACACCUGGUGUGGUGGCUCCUUAUGAUGCCAUCCAAAAAUUAAAAAAAUAACACGAACUAAUCUUAGAAAAUACUUUUUCCCUCCUCCCCCCCGCCAAAAAAAAAAAAAAAAAAAAAAGAACAAAAAUGGAAACAAAAAGUUUGGACCUGUCUACAAGGAUGUGUCACAAACAAUUAAUACAAAAACAUUUAUCUUUUUUAAAACAACAUAAGAAAUAACUUUCUUUAAAAUACAAAUUUAUCCUUUUUACAAUUCAUAGAGCGAUUGUUGUUUUUAUUUAAGAACUAAUGAAUAUCUGAUAAAAAAAAACAAUGGAACAUUUUUUACCCCG